GAGUAACACGUGGAUAACCUACCUAUAAGACUGGGAUAACUUCGGGAAACCGGAGCUAAUACCGGAUAAUAUUUUGAACCGCAUGGUUCAAAAGUGAAAGACGGUCUUGCUGUCACUUAUAGAUGGAUCCGCGCUGCAUUAGCUAGUUGGUAAGGUAACGGCUUACCAAGGCAACGAUGCAUAGCCGACCUGAGAGGGUGAUCGGCCACACUGGAACUGAGACACGGUCCAGACUCCUACGGGAGGCAGCAGUAGGGAAUCUUCCGCAAUGGGCGAAAGCCUGACGGAGCAACGCCGCGUGAGUGAUGAAGGUCUUCGGAUCGUAAAACUCUGUUAUUAGGGAAGAACAUAUGUGUAAGUAACUGUGCACAUCUUGACGGUACCUAAUCAGAAAGCCACGGCUAACUACGUGCCAGCAGCCGCGGUAAUACGUAGGUGGCAAGCGUUAUCCGGAAUUAUUGGGCGUAAAGCGCGCGUAGGCGGUUUUUUAAGUCUGAUGUGAAAGCCCACGGCUCAACCGUGGAGGGUCAUUGGAAACUGGAAAACUUGAGUGCAGAAGAGGAAAGUGGAAUUCCAUGUGUAGCGGUGAAAUGCGCAGAGAUAUGGAGGAACACCAGUGGCGAAGGCGACUUUCUGGUCUGUAACUGACGCUGAUGUGCGAAAGCGUGGGGAUCAAACAGGAUUAGAUACCCUGGUAGUCCACGCCGUAAACGAUGAGUGCUAAGUGUUAGGGGGUUUCCGCCCCUUAGUGCUGCAGCUAACGCAUUAAGCACUCCGCCUGGGGAGUACGACCGCAAGGUUGAAACUCAAAGGAAUUGACGGGGACCCGCACAAGCGGUGGAGCAUGUGGUUUAAUUCGAAGCAACGCGAAGAACCUUACCAAAUCUUGACAUCCUUUGACAACUCUAGAGAUAGAGCCUUCCUCUUCGGGGGACAAAGUGACAGGUGGUGCAUGGUUGUCGUCAGCUCGUGUCGUGAGAUGUUGGGUUAAGUCCCGCAACGAGCGCAACCCUUAAACUUAGUUGCCAUCAUUAAGUUGGGCACUCUAAGUUGACUGCCGGUGACAAACCGGAGGAAGGUGGGGAUGACGUCAAAUCAUCAUGCCCCUUAUGAUUUGGGCUACACACGUGCUACAAUGGACAAUACAAAGGGCAGCGAAACCGCGAGGUCAAGCAAAUCCCAUAAAGUUGUUCUCAGUUCGGAUUGUAGUCUGCAACUCGACUACAUGAAGCUGGAAUCGCUAGUAAUCGUAGAUCAGCAUGCUACGGUGAAUACGUUCCCGGGUCUUGUACACACCGCCCGUCACACCACGAGAGUUUGUAACACCCGAAGCCGGUGGAGUAACCUUUUAGGAGCUAGCCGUCGAAGGUGGGACAAAUGAUUGGGGUGAAGUCGUAACAAGGUAGCCGUAUCGGAAGGUGCGGCUGGAUCACCU
rnacentral:rRNA from 1 species